rnacentral:rRNA from 1 species
AGAGUUUGAUCCUGGCUCAGGAUGAACGCUGGCGGCGCGCCUAACACAUGCAAGUCGAACGGCACCCCUCUCCGGAGGGAAGCGAGUGGCGAACGGCUGAGUAACACGUGGAGAACCUGCCCCCUCCCCCGGGAUAGCCGCCCGAAAGGACGGGUAAUACCGGAUACCCCCGGGCGCCGCAUGGCGCCCGGGCUAAAGCCCCGACGGGAGGGGAUGGCUCCGCGGCCCAUCAGGUAGACGGCGGGGUGACGGCCCACCGUGCCGACAACGGGUAGCCGGGUUGAGAGACCGACCGGCCAGAUUGGGACUGAGACACGGCCCAGACUCCUACGGGGGGCAGCAGUGGGGAAUCUUGCGCAAUGGGGGGAACCCUGACGCAGCGACGCCGCGUGCGGGACGGAGGCCUUCGGGUCGUAAACCGCUUUCAGCAGGGAAGAGUCAAGACUGUACCUGCAGAAGAAGCCCCGGCUAACUACGUGCCAGCAGCCGCGGUAAUACGUAGGGGGCGAGCGUUAUCCGGAUUCAUUGGGCGUAAAGCGCGCGUAGGCGGCCCGGCAGGCCGGGGGUCGAAGCGGGGGGCUCAACCCCCCGAAGCCCCCGGAACCUCCGCGGCUUGGGUCCGGUAGGGGAGGGUGGAACACCCGGUGUAGCGGUGGAAUGCGCAGAUAUCGGGUGGAACACCGGUGGCGAAGGCGGCCCUCUGGGCCGAGACCGACGCUGAGGCGCGAAAGCUGGGGGAGCGAACAGGAUUAGAUACCCCUGGUAGUCCCAGCCGUAAACGAUGGACGCUAGGUGUGGGGGGACGAUCCCCCCGUGCCGCAGCCAACGCAUUAAGCGUCCCGCCUGGGGAGUACGGCCGCAAGGCUAAAACUCAAAGGAAUUGACGGGGGCCCGCACAAGCAGCGGAGCAUGUGGCUUAAUUCGAAGCAACGCGAAGAACCUUACCAGGGCUUGACAUAUGGGUGAAGCGGGGGAGACCCCGUGGCCGAGAGGAGCCCAUACAGGUGGUGCAUGGCUGUCGUCAGCUCGUGUCGUGAGAUGUUGGGUUAAGUCCCGCAACGAGCGCAACCCCCGCCGCGUGUUGCCAUCGGGUGAUGCCGGGAACCCACGCGGGACCGCCGCCGUCAAGGCGGAGGAGGGCGGGGACGACGUCAAGUCAUCAUGCCCCUUAUGCCCUGGGCUGCACACGUGCUACAAUGGCCGGUACAGAGGGAUGCCACCCCGCGAGGGGGAGCGGAUCCCGGAAAGCCGGCCCCAGUUCGGAUUGGGGGCUGCAACCCGCCCCCAUGAAGUCGGAGUUGCUAGUAAUCGCGGAUCAGCAUGCCGCGGUGAAUGCGUUCCCGGGCCUUGCACUCACCGCCCGUCA